GAUGAACGCUGGCGGCGUGCCUAAUACAUGCAAGUCGAGCGAAUGGAUUAAGAGCUUGCUCUUAUGAAGUUAGCGGCGGACGGGUGAGUAACACGUGGGUAACCUGCCCAUAAGACUGGGAUAACUCCGGGAAACCGGGGCUAAUACCGGAUAACAUUUUGAACCGCAUGGUUCGAAAUUGAAAGGCGGCUUCGGCUGUCACUUAUGGAUGGACACGCGUCGCAUUAGCGAGUUGGUGAGGUAACGGCUCACCAAGGCAACGAUGCGUAGCCGACCUGAGAGGGUGAUCGGCCACACUGGGACUGAGACACGGCCCAGACUCCUACGGGAGGCAGCAGUAGGGAAUCUUCCGCAAUGGACGAAAGUCUGACGGAGCAACGCCGCGUGAGUGAUGAAGGCUUUCGGGUCGUAAAACUCUGUUGUUAGGGAAGAACAAGUGCUAGUUGAAUAAGCUGGCACCUUGACGGUACCUAACCAGAAAGCCACGGCUAGCUACGUGCCAGCCGCCGCGGUAA
rnacentral:rRNA from 1 species